ACGGAAGGCAGCAGCUAAGAAUAUUCCGCAAUGGACGAAAGUCUGACGGAGCGACGCCGCGUGGAUGAUGAAGGCCGGAAGGUUGUAAAAUCCUUUUGAAUGAGACGAAUAAGCAGGUCAGGGAAUGGGCUUGUGGUGACGGUAUCAUUUGAAUAAGCAACGGCUAAUUACGUGCCAGCAGCCGCGGUAACACGUAAGUUGCGAGCGUUGUUCGGAAUUAUUGGGCGUAAAGGGCAUGUAGGCGGUUUUGCAAGCUUGGUGUGAAAUCCCGGAGCUCAACUCCGGAAUUGCGUUGAGAACUGCAUAACUAGAGUCACUGAGGGGCAAUCAGAAUUCCAGGUGUAGGGGUGAAAUCUGUAGAUAUCUGGAAGAAUACCAAUGGCGAAGGCAGGUUACCAGCAGAUGACUGACGCUGAGGUGCGAAGGUGCGGGGAGCAAACAGGAUUAGAUACCCUGGUA
rnacentral:rRNA from 1 species